rnacentral:rRNA from 1 species
GAUGAACGCUGGCGGCGUGCCUAAUACAUGCAAGUCGAGCGAAGAGACGAGGGGUUUGCCUCCCUGACGUUUGCGGAGGGGGGGUGUGUAACAUGUGGAUAAUCUCUCUUUACGAGUGGGAAAUAUUCGGGAAACUGGAGCUUAUCCCGGAAAAAAUAUUAAAGCGUAAGGACUAAUAGUGAAAGACGAUUUUGCCGCUACCAAUUGAUGGUUCCGUGCCGCAUUAGCUAGUUGGUAAGGCAACGGCUUACCAAGACGACAAUGAGCAGCCGACCUGAGAGGGUGAUCGGCCACACUGGAACGGGAACACGGCCCAGACUCCUACGGAAGGCAGCAGUAGGGAAUCUUCCGCAAUGGCCGAAAUCCGGACGGAGCAACGCCGCGUGAGUAAUGAAGGUCUUCGGAUCUUAAAACUCUGUUAUUAGGGAAGAACAAAUGUGUAGUUAACUAUGCACGUCUUGACGGUACCUUAUCAGAAAGCCACGGCUAACUACGUG